GUGUCUGAGUGGCUCUGCAUGAAGGACCGUUUUCUAGGUGAGAGGCACAUCUCAACACAGCUGACUGAUCAGACUCAGACACUGCUGCUGAAUCCAUGGAGAGAAAAAGGAUAAAUUUCCAGAACUAUGGUCCCUGUGCUCCAGUUCGCCAGGCGGGCGCGGCGGAGACGGAGACCGAGGAACGCGGCUGGGGCCAUGCGGCGCUACCGCGCGUGGUGGCGCUGUGUCUGGCCUGAGGCUUCUGCUCGCUCCUUUACGCCUUCAGCCAGCUCCCCAUGUCCCCGGAGGAAGGAGCGGGCGGUGGUGGCGGGAAGCUGCAGGCCGCAGUGGCUUCCUGGCUGGCGGGAGGCGGAUGCGGUGCGGUGAGAGGCGCGAGCAGUGCUUGUCCCGCUGCGCAUCCCCGCAGGUGGGACAGGUGUAGUCUGAAAAUACAGCCUGUUGAGAAAAUGCAUCUAGGUGAAAGACUUGAAAAAACUAUGACCAUGUUGAAGUCAGCUAUUAUUUUCAGGAUCAAACCUCUUCAAUUCCAGAUUUUUGCUGAAGAUCAACUCAUCAUAGCUUUAAAG
rnacentral:lncRNA from 1 species